CGGAGGCAGCAGUUUCGAAUCAUUCACAAUGGGCGAAAGCCUGAUGGUGCGACGCCGCGUGAGGGAUGAAGGUCUUCGGAUUGUAAACCUCUGUCACUGGGGAAGAAACGCUUCAAGUUAAUAGCUUGAAGCCUGACUUAACCCGGAGAGGAAGCAGUGGCUAACACUGUGCCAGCAGCCGCGGUAAUACAGAGACUGCAAGCGUUAUUCGGAUUCACUGGGCGUAAAGGGUGCGCAGGCGGCCAAGUGUGUGAGGCGUGAAAGCCUGGGGCUUAACUCCAGAAUUGCACCUCAAACUACAUGGCUAGAGCAUUGGAGAGGGUAGCGGAAUUCACGGUGUAGCAGUGAAAUGCGUAGAUAUCGUGAGGAACACCAGAGGCGAAGGCGGCUACCUGGACAAUUGCUGACGCUCAGGCACGAAAGCGUGGGGAGCAAAAGGGAUUAGAUACCCCGGUAGU
rnacentral:rRNA from 1 species